UACAAAUGUUCCUGAACACAUGGCAUGUGGCGAUUGGGAGAGCAUGGUGCUGUUGGGCCAGAUUCAGGCUGUGGAACGCUGAUUCUGUGCCCAGGAAACAAGCACAGACUGGUGGGACUGCAUAGUGUUGCAGGUAUGGGAUGAUUCCCAGUGGCUGCAAAACUUUCGUAUGCGUAGGAUCACUUACAUGGAA